ACGGGUGAGUAACACGUGGAUAACCUACCUAUAAGACUGGGAUAACUUCGGGAAACCGGAGCUAAUACCGGAUAACAUAUUGAACCGCAUGGUUCAAUAGUGAAAGGCGGCUUUGCUGUCACUUAUAGAUGGAUCCGCGCCGUAUUAGCUAGUUGGUAAGGUAACGGCUUACCAAGGCAACGAUACGUAGCCGACCUGAGAGGGUGAUCGGCCACACUGGAACUGAGACACGGUCCAGACUCCUACGGGAGGCAGCAGUAGGGAAUCUUCCGCAAUGGGCGAAAGCCUGACGGAGCAACGCCGCGUGAGUGAUGAAGGUCUUCGGAUCGUAAAACUCUGUUAUCAGGGAAGAACAAAUGUGUAAGUAACUGUGCACAUCUUGACGGUACCUGAUCAGAAAGCCACGGCUAACUACGUGCCAGCAGCCGCGGUAAUACGUAGGUGGCAAGCGUUAUCCGGAAUUAUUGGGCGUAAAGCGCGCGUAGGCGGUUUUUUAAGUCUGAUGUGAAAGCCCACGGCUCAACCGUGGAGGGUCAUUGGAAACUGGAAAACUUGAGUGCAGAAGAGGAAAGUGGAAUUC
rnacentral:rRNA from 2 species